rnacentral:rRNA from 1 species
UACGAAGGGGGCUAGCGUUGUUCGGAAUUACUGGGCGUAAAGCGCACGUAGGCGGACUAUUAAGUCAGGGGUGAAAUCCUGGAGCUCAACUCCAGAACUGCCUUUGAUACUGGGGAGUUCGAGUCCGGAAGAGGUGAGUGGAACUCCGAGUGUAGAGGUGAAAUUCGUAGAUAUUCGGAAGAACACCAGUGGCGAAGGCGGCUCACUGGUCCGGUACUGACGCUGAGGUGCGAAAGCGUGGGGAGCAAACAGG